UGUCUCCCCCUGUGUUGCUCUCCUCCAUGGAAUGAACCCAUAGGUACCGAGUGCCUGUUGUGGGAGGGGGCCUUUGGCUGUUGCAGGAGAGUAAUUUGGAGGUGAGCAGGGGCAGUAGCAGGGAGGUAAGUUAGGAGGCUGUGCUGUCAUUCUGGUGUAAGAGGGUGUGGCCAUAGACUUGGAGAGACCCGGACCCGCAAGAGUCCUCUUGGAAGAGGAGCCAGCAAGACUUGCUGAGGGCUGGGUCAACUCUGGGAUUCUAGCUUGAGCAGCUGGUGAAUUGCAAUGUCAUUUACUGAGAUGGCUAAAGAGAGGAUUUAUGGGGGGAGAAAUCAGUGGUUCUGUUUUAGCCAAAUUAAGCUGGAGAUGCCUGUGGAACAUUAAAAUCAGACUCCAGUCUCCUCAGAAUUGUCCUUCAGUUUUGCCCCCAAUCCGUCUUCUCCCCAAGGAUGGAGAAUUCUGGCUUUCAGCUCCCUCCUCUCCCAGGACCCCAUACUCCCAACCCCCUUGUUACGGGUUGAACCGUGCCCCCCACAAAUCCAUAUAUUGAAGUCCUAACUCCCAAAACCUCAAAAUGUGAUCUUAUUCCAAAAUAGAAGCAUUGCAGAUACAAUUAGUUAAGAUGAGGUCAUUAGUGUGGGCCCUAAUCCAACUUGACUGGUGUCCUUAUACAAAGGGACAUUUUGGACACAGACACACACAUGCAAGGAGAGAAGGCCAUGUGAUGACGAAGGCAGAGAUUGGGGUGAUGCUUCUGCAAGCCAAGGAACACCAAAGAUUGCCAGACAGCCACUGGAAGCUAGGAGACAGGCCUGUAACAGAUUCUCCCUUAGAAGGAACCAACUCUGCCGACACCUUGAUCUUGGACAUCUAGCCUCCAGAACUGACACAAUAAAGUCUGGUUUAAGCCA